rnacentral:rRNA from 1 species
ACCCGAUGCAAACUGCGAAUACCGGAGAAUGUUAUCACGGGAGACACACGGCGGGUGCUAACGUCCGUCGUGAAGAGGGAAACAACCCAGACCGCCAGCUAAGGUCCCAAAGUCAUGGUUAAGUGGGAAACGAUGUGGGAAGGCCCAGACAGCCAGGAUGUUGGCUUAGAAGCAGCCAUCAUUUAAAGAAAGCGUAAUAGCUCACUGGUCGAGUCGGCCUGCGCGGAAGAUGUAACGGGGCUAAACCAUGCACCGAAGCUGCGGCAGCGACACUGUGUGUUGUUGGGUAGGGGAGCGUUCUGUAAGCCUGUGAAGGUGUGUCGUGAGGCAUGCUGGAGGUAUCAGAAGUGCGAAUGCUGACAUAAGUAACGAUAAAGCGGGUGAAAAGCCCGCUCGCCGGAAGACCAAGGGUUCCUGUCCAACGUUAAUCGGGGCAGGGUGAGUCGACCCCUAAGGCGAGGCCGAAAGGCGUAGUCGAUGGGAAACGGGUUAAUAUUCCCGUACUUGGUGUUACUGCGAAGGGGGGACGGAGAAGGCUAUGUUGGCCGGGCGACGGUUGUCCCGGUUUAAGCGUGUAGGUGUGUGUUCCAGGUAAAUCCGGUUCACUUUAACACUGAGGCGUGACGACGAGGCACUACGGUGCUGAAGCAACAAAUGCCCUGCUUCCAGGAAAAGCCUCUAAGCAUCAGGUAACAUCAAAUCGUACCCCAAACCGACACAGGUGGUCAGGUAGAGAAUACCAAGGCGCUUGAGAGAACUCGGGUGAAGGAACUAGGCAAAAUGGUGCCGUAACUUCGGGAGAAGGCACGCUGACACGUAGGUGAAGUGAUUUACUCAUGGAGCUGAAGUCAGUCGAAGAUACCAGCUGGCUGCAACUGUUUAUUAAAAACACAGCACUGUGCAAACACGAAAGUGGACGUAUACGGUGUGACGCCUGCCCGGUGCCGGAAGGUUAAUUGAUGGGGUCAGCGCAAGCGAAGCUCCUGAUCGAAGCCCCGGUAAACGGCGGCCGUAACUAUAACGGUCCUAAGGUAGCGAAAUUCCUUGUCGGGUAAGUUCCGACCUGCACGAAUGGCGUAAUGAUGGCCAGGCUGUCUCCACCCGAGACUCAGUGAAAUUGAACUCGCUGUGAAGAUGCAGUGUACCCGCGGCAAGACGGAAAGACCCCGUGAACCUUUACUAUAGCUUGACACUGAACAUUGAGCCUUGAUGUGUAGGAUAGGUGGGAGGCUUUGAAGUGUGGACGCCAGUCUGCAUGGAGCCGACCUUGAAAUACCACCCUUUAAUGUUUGAUGUUCUAACGUGGACCCGUUACCCGGGUUGCGGACAGUGUCUGGUGGGUAGUUUGACUGGGGCGGUCUCCUCCUAAAGAGUAACGGAGGAGCACGAAGGUUGGCUAAUCCUGGUCGGACAUCAGGAGGUUAGUGCAAUGGCAUAAGCCAGCUUGACUGCGAGCGUGACGGCGCGAGCAGGUGCGAAAGCAGGUCAUAGUGAUCCGGUGGUUCUGAAUGGAAGGGCCAUCGCUCAACGGAUAAAAGGUACUCCGGGGAUAACAGGCUGAUACCGCCCAAGAGUUCAUAUCGACGGCGGUGUUUGGCACCUCGAUGUCGGCUCAUCACAUCCUGGGGCUGAAGUAGGUCCCAAGGGUAUGGCUGUUCGCCAUUUAAAGUGGUACGCGAGCUGGGUUUAGAACGUCGUGAGACAGUUCGGUCCCUAUCUGCCGUGGGCGCUGGAGAACUGAGGGGGGCUGCUCCUAGUACGAGAGGACCGGAGUGGACGCAUCACUGGUGUUCGGGUUGUCAUGCCAAUGGCACUGCCCGGUAGCUAAAUGCGGAAGAGAUAAGUGCUGAAAGCAUCUAAGCACGAAACUUGCCCCGAGAUGAGUUCUCCCUGAGACUUAAAGUCUCCUGAAGGAACGUUGAAGACGACGACGUUGAUAGGCCGGGUGUGUAAGCGCAGCGAUGCGUUGAGCUAACCGGU